AGACCGCAUCACCCCUGGCCGCGAGACCAGGGGAGGGAACCCGGGGAACUGAAACAUCUCAGUACCUGGAGGAAGAGGAAACAAACGUGAAUCCCCAAGUAGCGGCGAGCGAACGGGGACGAGCCCAAACCGAUCCGGUGCCAAGGCGGCAGCCGUUGCCGGAUGGGGGUUGUGGGGCGUAGUGGGGUGACUGCCGAAGCCCACUCGCAAGCCUGGCCGAGCCGAAGGGAGCUGGGAAGCUCCGCCGUAGAGGGUAAGAGCCCCGUAGGCGAAGGCAAGGGGAGAGAGACUGCGUACCCGAGUACUGCGAGGGAACCGAGGAGCCUCGCAGGAAGCUGGGGGGACCACCCUCCAAGGCGAAACACUGAUCAGCGACCGAUAGCGCAAAGUACCGUGAGGGAACGGUGAAAAGCACCCCGGGAGGGGAGUGAAAGAGAACCUGAAACCGUGCGCCUACAAGCUGUCCGAGCCCGCGAGACGGGUGAGGGCGUGCCUAUUGAAGAAUGAACCGGCGAGUGAGCCCGGGGCGCGAGGUUAAUCCCUGCAGGGGAGGAGCCGGAGCGAAAGCGAGUCUGAAAGGGCAAGAGUGCCGCUUCGUUGACCCGAAACUGGGUGAUCUACCCAUGGCCAGGGUGAAGUCCCGCGAAACCGGGAUGGAGGCCCGCACCACGUCAGCGUUGAAAAGCUGUGGGAUGAGCUGUGGGUAGGGGUGAAAUGCCAAUCGAACCCAGAGAUAGCUGGUUCUCCCCGAAAUCGCUUGAGGGCGAGCCCUGAGCGGCCGGCGCGGGGGGUAGAGCACCGAUUGGGAAAGGGGCCUUACCGGGUUACCGACCCCAUUCGAACUCCGAAUACCCGCGCCCAGGCGCCGGGAGUCAGACGGCGGGGGAUAAGCUCCGUCGUCGAGAGGGAAACAGCCCAGACCGCCAGCUAAGGUCCCGAAAUCGGACUAAGUGGGAAAGGGAGUCGCCGCGCAAAGACAACCAGGAUGUUGGCUCAGAAGCAGCCACCAUUCAAAGAGUGCGUAAUAGCUCACUGGUCGAGUGGGGCGGCACCGAAAAUGUAACGGGGCUGAAGUCCGAUACCGAAGCUGCGGAUCGUGCGAGAGCACGAUGGUAGGGGAGCGUCGCCACAGCGGAGAAGGUGCGGGGUGACCCGAGCUGGAGCGGUGGCGAGUGAGAAUGCC
rnacentral:rRNA from 1 species